rnacentral:rRNA from 1 species
ACCCUUUGUAUACCUUACCUCUUGCUGCUCCGGUGGGCUUCUACCGGCCUCGGCUGGGAAGCGCCCGCCGGACAGCAUAAACCCAAACCCAUUUAUAGUGUCGUCUGAGAAAAAAGUUUAAUAUUUAAAACUUUCAACAACGGAUCUCUUGGCUCUGGCAUCGAUGAAGAACGCAGCGAAAUGCGAUAAGUAAUGUGAAUUGCAGAAUUCAGUGAAUCAUCGAAUCUUUGAACGCACAUUGCGCCCCUUGGUAUUCCGAGGGGCAUGCCUAUUCGAGCGUCAUUAUCACCCCUCAAGCUCCGGCUUGGUGUUGAGGCCUGCUGUAAAGGCAUCCUCUAAAAUCAGUGGCAGUGCCGUCAGGCUCUAAGCGUAGUAAUUUCAUCGCUAUAGAUCCGAGCGGACCCUCGCCAGAACCCCCCCAUUUUUUUAAUGAUUGACCUCGGAUUAGGUAGGGAUACCCGCUGAACUUAAGCAUAUCAAUAAGCGGAG